rnacentral:rRNA from 1 species
GACGAACGCUGGCGGCGUGCUUAACACAUGCAAGUCGAACGAUGAAGCCGGAGCUUGCUCUGGUGAAUUAGUGGCGAACGGGUGAGUAACACGUGAGUAACCUGCCCUUGACUCUGGGAUAACUGCUAGAAAUGGUAGCUAAUACCGGAUACGACCCUCGGAGGCAUCUCCAGGGGGUGGAAAGAAUUUCGGUCAAGGAUGGACUCGCGGCCUAUCAGCUAGUUGGUGAGGUAAUGGCUCACCAAGGCGACGACGGGUAGCCGGCCCGAGAGGGUGACCGGCCACACUGGGACUGAGACACUGCCCAGACUCCUACGGGAGGCAGCAGUGGGGAAUAUUGCACAAUGGGCGCAAGCCUGAUGCAGCAACGCCGCGUGAGGGAUGACGGCCUUCGGGUUGUAAACCUCUUUUAGUAGGGAAGAAGCGAAAGUGACGGUACCUGCAGAAAAAGCACCGGCUAACUACGUGCCAGCAGCCGCCGUAA